GCCGCUAUGGUGAAAUUGGUAGACACGCUGCUCUUAGGAAGCAGUGCUAAUGCAUCUCGGGUCGAGUCCGAGUGGCGGCA
rnacentral:tRNA from 1 species